rnacentral:rRNA from 1 species
GACGAACGCUGGCGGCGUGCUUAACACAUGCAAGUCGAACGAUGAAGCCGGAGCUUGCUCUGGUGAAUUAGUGGCGAACGGGUGAGUAACACGUGAGUAACCUGCCCUUGACUCUGGGAUAACUGCUAGAAAUGGUAGCUAAUACCGGAUACGACCCUCGGAGGCAUCUCCAGGGGGUGGAAAGAAUUUCGGUCAAGGACGGACUCGCGGCCUAUCAGCUAGUUGGUGAGGUAACGGCUCACCAAGGCGACGACGGGUAGCCGGCCUGAGAGGGUGACCGGCCACACUGGGACUGAGACACGGCCCAGACUCCUACGGGAGGCAGCAGUGGGGAAAAUUGCACAAUGGGCGCAAGCCUGAUGCAGCAACGCCGCGUGAGGGAUGACGGCCUUCGGGUUGUAAACCUCUUUUAGUAGGGAAGAAGCGAAAGUGACGGUACCUGCAGAAAAAGCACCGGCUAACUACGUGCCAGCAGCCGCAGUAA